rnacentral:rRNA from 1 species
ACUCCUACGGGAGGCAGCAGUGGGGAAUAUUGCACAAUGGGGGAAACCCUGAUGCAGCCAUGCCGCGUGUGUGAAGAAGGCCUUGGUUGUAAAGCACUUUCAGUAGGGAGGAAGGUAGUGUAGUUAACACCUGCAUUAUUUGUACGUUACCUACAGAAGAAGCACCGGCUAACUCCGUGCCAGCAGCCGCGGUAAGUACGGAGGGUGCGAGCGUUAAUCGGAAUUACUGGGCGUAAAGCGCAUGCAGGCGGCCUGUUAAGUCAGAUGUGAAAGCCCGGGGCUUAACCUCGGAAUUGCAUUUGAAACUGGCAGGCUAGAGUCUUGUAGAGGGGUUAGAAUUUCAGGUGUAGCGGUGAAAUGCGUAGAGAUCUGAAGGAAUACCG